CAUCGCAGCACAGGCCAGUGUAACCCUUAACUGUCAGUAACUUAAACCCUUUGCCAGGGGGUUGCUCUGUUUGCAAAGCCCACUCUGGCUGCACACGAGACAAGCGGGAAUGCCAGGAAGUUCACACCAUCCAAGAGCCAGCCCUCAACCAGUGAUCCACAGGGCUUGGGUAGAAACUCUUGGGAGGAAUAGUUCCACCGUGUGUCUUCUACUCUGGCUCCUCAAUGCGAUUAAGAAAAGAGGCCGAGUUUACCAUAAGGAUGCCUGGCGCUAAGGAACACAGGAUCCACGAGACCCUAGAAGGAAAUGCAGGUAUGACAGGCAGCAGGAGUUUGGGAAGCCCCUCUAGGGCUCCACCA
ensembl:lncRNA